rnacentral:tRNA from 7 species
GGACGCGUAGCUCAGCGGGAGAGCACUUCGUUGACAUCGAAGGGGUCACAGGUUCAAUCCCUGUCGCGUCCACCA